UGGGGGAAACGUCCGGAAACGGGCGCUAAUACCGCAUACGUCCUACGGGAGAAAGCAGGGUUACCUUCGGGCCUUGCGCUAUCAGAUGAGCCUAGGUCGGAUUAGCUAGUUGGUGAGGUAAUGGCUCACCAAGGCGACACGAUCCGUAACUGGUCUGAAAGGAUGAUCAGUCACACUGGCCCUGAAACACGGGCCACACUCUCCGGGAGGGAGCAGUGGG
rnacentral:rRNA from 1 species